UUGCCUAAUUCAGCAGCAGAUAAACUAAAAUUGGAAAGAUACGGAGAUUAACAUGGCCCUUUUGCAAGGAUGACACUCAAGUUUGUGAAAUGUUCCAUAUAUUU